GACUUCCAACACUAGUAUAGCAUCAUGCAAUAAGAAAAGUAUGACAGAGGUACCCCCCAUUCCGUUCCCAGCUUGCUGUUGCUCAGUAGCUAGCAAAUGGAAGACACAGUGUUAAAAAA
rnacentral:snoRNA from 1 species